UACAGAGGUCUCAAGCGUUGUUCGGAAUUACUGGGCGUAAAGGGUUUGUAGGUGGCUUGCUAAGUCAGACGUGAAAUCCCUCAGCUUAACUGGGGAACUGCGUCUGAGACUGGCAAGCUCGAGUGCAGGAGAGGAACGCGGAAUUCCAGGUGUAGCGGUGAAAUGCGUAGAUAUCUGGAGGAACACCGGUGGCGAAGGCGGCGUUCUGGACUGCAACUGACACUGAAAAACGAAAGCCAGGGGAGCAAACGGG
rnacentral:rRNA from 1 species